AGUUUGCUUGCAAACUGAAGAUGGCGACCGGCGCACGGGUGAGUAACACGUAUCCAACCUGCCGAUAACUCCGGGAUAGCCUUUCGAAAGAAAGAUUAAUACCGGAUGGCAUACGAAUAUCGCAUGAUAUUUUUAUUAAAGAAUUUCGGUUAUCGAUGGGGAUGCGUUCCAUUAGUUUGUUGGCGGGGUAACGGCCCACCAAGACUACGAUGGAUAGGGGUUCUGAGAGGAAGGUCCCCCACAUUGGAACUGAGACACGGUCCAAACUCCUACGGGAGGCAGCAGUGAGGAAUAUUGGUCAAUGGGCGAGAGCCUGAACCAGCCAAGUAGCGUGAAGGAUGAAGGCUCUAUGGGUCGUAAACUUCUUUUAUAUGGGAAUAAAGUUUUCCACGUGUGGAAUUUUGUAUGUACCAUAUGAAUAAGGAUCGGCUAACUCCGUGCCAGCAGCCGCGGUAAUACGGAGGAUCCGAGCGUUAUCCGGAUUUAUUGGGUUUAAAGGGAGCGUAGGUGGAUUGUUAAGUCAGUUGUGAAAGUUUGCGGCUCAACCGUAAAAUUGCAGUUGAAACUGGCAGUCUUGAGUACAGUAGAGGUGGGCGGAAUUCGUGGUGUAGCGGUGAAAUGCUUAGAUAUCACGAAGAACUCCGAUUGC
rnacentral:rRNA from 1 species